AUUGAACGCUGGCGGCAUGCUUUACACAUGCAAGUCGAACGGUAACAGGCCUUCGGGUGCUGACGAGUGGCGAACGGGCGAGUAAUUCAUCGGAACGUACCCAGCGGUGGGGGAUAACGCAGCGACAGCUGUGCUAAUACUGUAUGUGAUCUGAGGAUGAAAGCGGGGGACCGAGCAGCAAUGUUUGGCCUCGCGCCUUUGGAGCGGCCGAUGUGGGAUUAGCUAGUUGGUGGGGUAAAGGCCUACCAGGGGGGCGAUCCGUAGCUGGUCUGAGUGGACGGCAGGCGGCAUGAGGAGGGGAACGGGGACAGGGCGCCUGCGAGAGGGAGCAGUGGGGAAUUGUGGACAGUAGGCGCGAGCCUGAUCCAACGAUGCCGCGUGCGAGAAGAAGGCGUUCGGGUUGUGAACCGCGUUUGGCAGGAACGAAACGGUGUCGGCUAAUACCGAGCGUUAGUGACGGUAACUGCAGAAGAAGCACCGGCUAACUACGUG
rnacentral:rRNA from 1 species